rnacentral:rRNA from 1 species
GACGAACGCUGGCGGCGUGCUUAACACAUGCAAGUCGAACGGAAAGGCGCUGCUUUUCUUGGGUGCUCGAGUGGCGAACGGGUGAGAAACAUGUGAGUAUCCUGCCCUUGAUAUUGGGAUAACUUCAGAAAACUUGGGCGAACACCGUAUUGGAACACCAGCUCAAUGUAUGGUUUUGGAAAGUUUCGGCGGUUGGGGAUGGAUUCGCGGCUUAUUAGCUUGUUGGUGGGGUAGUGGCUCACCAAGGCUUUGACGGGUAGCCGGCCUGAGAGGGUGACCGGGCAACAUGGGAAUGGGAUAAGGCCCAGAAUCCUAAGGGAAGCAGCAGUGGGGGAUAUUGCACAAUGGGCGGAAGACUGAUGCAGAGAAGCCGCGUGCGGAAUAACGAGCUUCGCGUUGUAAAACGCGUUUGCAUUUGACGAGGAGUGAGUGACGGUAAUAGGAAAAGAAGCACCGGCUAACUACGUG